UACGUAGGGUGCAAGCGUUGUCCGGAAUUAUUGGGCGUAAAGAGCUUGUAGGCGGUUUGUCGCGUCUGCUGUGAAAAUCCAGGGCUUAACCCUGGAACUGCAGUGGGUACGGGCAGACUAGAGUGCGGUAGGGGAGAUCGGAAUUCCUGGUGUAGCGGUGAAAUGCGCAGAUAUCAGGAGGAACACCGGUGGCGAAGGCGGAUCUCUGGGCCGUAACUGACGCUGAGGAGCGAAAGCAUGGGGAGCGAACAGG
rnacentral:rRNA from 1 species